AUAUGUUCUUAUAGCAACCAUAAACAAACAAAUAAAAAUUUUGGCAACACACAAAUUUUGCUCCUUAAAUUUCCAACCCAAGAAGAAAUAUGCCUUGCUCACCUUGCUGUGCACCCUGCUACCCAUGUUUCUACCCAGUUUGCGCGCCAUGUUAUCCAGUUUAUUGCGCUCCGGUUGUGUGCGCACCUUGCUGCCCCCCUUGUGGACCAUGCCCUCCUAAGUGCUAGCAAUGUUACACAAUGGAAGCUCCAAUAGCUACAGUUAGCGAGUAUAAGGCAAUGUAAAAAGUUAAAUUAAUAAAUAUUAUUUGCAACUAUAAA